rnacentral:rRNA from 1 species
GAUUAUGACGUACUUGUACUGAUUGAGAUUUUAACACGAAGUGAGUGGCGAACGGGUGAGUAACACGUGGGUAACCUGCCCAGAAGUAGGGGAUAACACCUGGAAACAGAUGCUAAUACCGUAUAACAGAGAAAACCGCAUGGUUUUCUUUUAAAAGAUGGCUCUGCUAUCACUUCUGGAUGGACCCGCGGCGUAUUAGCUAGUUGGUGAGGUAAAGGCUCACCAAGGCAGUGAUACGUAGCCGACCUGAGAGGGUAAUCGGCCACAUUGGGACUGAGACACGGCCCAGACUCCUACGGGAGGCAGCAGUAGGGAAUCUUCCACAAUGGACGCAAGUCUGAUGGAGCAACGCCGCGUGAGUGAAGAAGGGUUUCGGCUCGUAAAGCUCUGUUGUUAAAGAAGAACGUGGGUAAGAGUAACUGUUUACCCAGUGACGGUAUUUAACCAGAAAGCCACGGCUAACUACGUGCCAGCAGCCGCGGUAAUACGUAGGUGGCAAGCGUUAUCCGGAUUUAUUGGGCGUAAAGCGAGCGCAGGCGGUCUUUUAAGUCUAAUGUGAAAGCCUUCGGCUCAACCGAAGAAGUGCAUUGGAAACUGGGAGACUUGAGUGCAGAAGAGGACAGUGGAACUCCAUGGG